UUCCAGCUGACGAGUUCCAAAUAGGACGGAAUGCGAGUCCUGGAU
rfam:Schistosoma curassoni strain Dakar, Senegal genome assembly, scaffold: SCTD_scaffold0007374